rnacentral:rRNA from 1 species
AUUGAACGCUGGCGGCAGGCCUAACACAUGCAAGUCGAACGAGUGGCGGACGGGUGAGUAAUGUCUGGGAAACUGCCUGAUGGAGGGGGAUAACUACUGGAAACGGUAGCUAAUACCGCAUACCAUCGGAUGUGCCCAGAUGGGAUUAGCUAGUAGGUGGGGUAACGGCUCACCUAGGCGACGAGCCCUAGCAGGUCUGAGAGGAUGACCAGCCACACUGGAACUGAGACCCGGUCCAGACUCCUACGGGAGGCAGCAGUGGGGAAUAUUGCACAAUUGACGCAAGCCUGAUGCAGCCAUGCCGCGUGUAUGAAGAAGGCCUUCGGGUUGUAAAGUACUUUCAGCAGGGAUGCGUUACCCACAUAGGAAGCACCGGCUAACUCCGUGCCAGCAGCCGCGGUAAUUC